ACGCUCGACACCUACGGGAGGCAGCAAGUGGGGAAUAUUGCACAAUGGGGGAAACCCUGAUGCAGCGACGCCGCGUGGAGGAAGAAGGUCUUCGGAUUGUAAACUCCUGUUGUUGGGGAAAAAGAGGAUGGUACCCAACAAGGAAGUGACGGCUAACUACGUGUCAGCAGCGCGGUAAUCUGAGCGGGCUGGCAAGGC
rnacentral:rRNA from 1 species